GCCAAUGUGGUGUAGUGGUUUUAGCAUUGGACUAGGACUCUGAAGAACAGGGUUCAAAUCCCCACUCAGUCA